rnacentral:rRNA from 1 species
ACUUGCUUUCUUUUGCUGGCGACCGGCGCACGGGUGAGUAACACGUAUCCAACCUGCCCUUUACUCGGGGAUAGCCUUUCGAAAGAAAGAUUAAUACCCGAUAGCAUAAUGAUUCCGCAUGGUUUCAUUAUUAAAGGAUUCCGGUAAAGGAUGGGGAUGCGUUCCAUUAGGUUGUUGGGGGGGUAACGGCCCACCAAGACUACGAUGGAUAGGGGUUCUGAGAGGAAGGUCCCCCACAUUGGAACUGAGACACGGCCAA